AGGUGAGAUGGCAGGGAUGAACCUGCACAGAAUCGCCUCCGCUCUCGUUCGUUUCAUUAGAAAAGAAAUCCGUCGAUCUGCAAGAAGCCAGGGUCUUGGAGUUCAUCGCCAUUGGGGCUUUGGCAACGGCCGCCGUGGUCGCCGUGGGCGUCGUGGUCACCACGACCACCCUGGAUCUGCAGCAGCAGGACCAAGCAACCCACCCACGG
rnacentral:lncRNA from 1 species